rnacentral:rRNA from 1 species
GACGAACGCUGGCGGCGUGCCUAAUACAUGCAAGUCGAACGAACCGCGACUAGGUGCUUGCACUUGGUCAAGGUGAGUGGCGAACGGGUGAGUAACACGUGGGUAACCUACCUCAUAGUGGGGGAUAACAGUCGGAAGCGACUGCUAAUACCGCAUAGGACAUGGGAUCACAUGAUUCUGUGAGGAAAGGUGGCGCAAGCUAUCGCUAAGAGAUGGACCCGCGGUGCAUUAGCUAGUUGGUAGGGUAACGGCCUACCAAGGCGAUGAUGCAUAGCCGACCUGAGAGGGUGAUCGGCCACAUUGGGACUGAGACACGGCCCAAACUCCUACGGGAGGCAGCAGUAGGGAAUCUUCCGCAAUGGACGCAAGUCUGACGGAGCAACGCCGCGUGAGUGAAGAAGGUCUUCGGAUCGUAAAGCUCUGUUGUUAGAGAAGAACAGCGCAUAGAGUAACUGUUAUGCGUGUGACG